rnacentral:lncRNA from 1 species
CUGGGCCUCAGUUUCUCCAGCCAUAUCCUGAGGGAAGUCUAUUAAUUCUCUUAGCUUGAGUUUCCCAGAAGUUGGUCCCAAGGUCGUGAUAAGAAUUAUCAGAGAUAAAGAAAGGUUGCUGAACACACAUAGUAUGCUGACAACUGGCCACAUGUCAUCUUCCCAGCAUUGCAAAGAAGGGGCCAUUUUUCUUGCAGUUAUGGAGCCCUCUGGUGAAAAGGCAGAAGCCCCUUGCCCUGAGCCUAGGGAAGGCUGAGGGCUAGAAAGAAAAAGACCUUCUUCCCAUGAUCCUCUUCUGGAGAGACAAAGACACACCCAUGAGGUAGAUGAAUCCAUGGUUCUUCUGGCUUGAACUAAGUGCCUUCAACUCCGAAGCCUGAUCUUGCACAGGGAGGUUUGUGGACCAGGGGAGGGCAUUGCAGAGCCACUGUGUAAAUAAGGAUAUGGAAAGAUAUUGUUACACUCCUGGAGGUGACUGGGUGUGUGGGAGAUG